UGAACGCUAGCGGCAGGCUUAACACAUGCAAGUCGAGGGGUAACAGGGAUUGCUUGCAAUCCGCUGACGACCGGCGCACGGGUGCGUAACGCGUAUGCAACCUACCUUUUACAAGGGGAUAGCCCAGAGAAAUUUGGAAUAAUACCCUAUACGAUCAUUAAUUGGCAUCAAUUAAUGAAGAAAACUCCGGUGGUAAAAGAUGGGCAUGCGUCCUAUUAGUUAGUUGGUAAGGUAACGGCUUACCAAGACUUCGAUAGGUAGGGGUCCUGAGAGGGAGAUCCCCCACACUGGUACUGAGACACGGACCAGACUCCUACGGGAGGCAGCAGUGAGGAAUAUUGGACAAUGGAGGCAACUCUGAUCCAGCCAUGCCGCGUGCAGGAAGACGGCCCUACGGGUUGUAAACUGCUUUUAUACAGGAAGAACUAUAUCUACGUGUAGAUAUUUGACGGUACUGUAAGAAUAAGGAUCGG
rnacentral:rRNA from 1 species